GUUCUCUCAUUCCGCCCCUGCUCUCUCACUCCAUCUCUAGUCAGUAGCCGCUAUCACCAUCCCCACCACCGUCGCCGUCGAUGUCUGUGCUCCCCCUCUUCUCUGCUCCGCUUCCACACUAUGCGCCUAGCUCAUCUAUCAGAAAAAUAAUGGUGACUCGCAAGCUUUUUGAUGUAGUUUGAGAUAGGAAGCGUGGCUAUACUUG
rnacentral:lncRNA from 1 species